CGCCGCGGUUAUACGGGAGACCCAAGGUGACAGUCACCGGCGUAAAGCGUGGUUAGAACAUUUUUAUUUAAACUAAAGCCGAAAACCUUCACAGCAGUCGCACGCUUACGAAAGUAAGAAGCCCAAUCACGAAAGUAGCUUUACAAUAUUUUGACCCCACGAAAACUGGGAAA
rnacentral:rRNA from 1 species